AUGAACGCUGACAGAAUGCUUAACACAUGCAAGUCGAUGGGGAAGUGGUGCUUGCACCAUGGUAACCAUGGCGGACGGGUGAGUAACGCGUAAGGAACUUACCUGCGGGACCGGGAUAACAGCAGGAAACUGCUGACAAGACCGGAUAAGGUCAUUAAGCUGCAUAGCUUAGUGAUGAAAGGAGACGCCUGCGGAGAGCCUUGCGUCCUAUUAGCUAGUUGGAGGGGUAACGGCCCACCAAGGCGAAGAUAGGUAGCCGGCCUGAGAGGGUGGACGGCCACAAGGGGACUGAGAUACGGCCCUUACUCCUACGGGAGGCGGCAGUGGGGAAUAUUGGACAAUGGGGGCAACCCUGAUCCAGCAAUUCUGUGUGCACGAAGACGGUUUUCGGAUUGUAAAGUGCUUUCAGCAGGGAAGAAGGAAGUGACGGUACCUGCAGAAGAAGCGACGGCUAAAUACGUG
rnacentral:rRNA from 1 species